rnacentral:rRNA from 2 species
CCAGAACCCGAUCCCAUCUCGAACUCGGCCGUUAAACACGCCAGCGCCCAUGGUACUGUGUCUCAAGGCACGGGAGAGUCGGUCGCCGCCAGAC